AAUUUGAAACAUCGUUGUAAAAUCAAUGCGUAUCACGCUUCACUUGCACAAUCUAAAAUGAUCCACUGCUCUAUCCACCGCGAUCCAAAUAUUUCGGUAUCCGACGACCGUCGAACGGAUCCGUUUGGGAGGCGAGCGGCCAAUCAAAUAGGGGCGAGGGCAUCCUACGAAAGAGCUGCUCCGUGGCCGAAUCAGGCGUCGUGUCCGCGUAUAGGUUUACCGCAGGAUUACCAUGCCUUGUUUUUGCGAAAAAAUCCAAAGCACAAUGACCGUCUAGUAGUCUCGUUACGGCUCGCGGGUC